rnacentral:lncRNA from 1 species
CGAGACUCCGUCUCAAAAAAAAAAAAAUAAAUAAACUAUUAAGGCUGUUGAUGAAAUAGUCAAAUGUCUAGUGUAGGUUGUCUGUGCAUUAACAGACCCUAUUAAAGAGGUUAAUCAAAUCAAAUUUAAAUUUUCUCACACUGAAUAAGACCAGAAAUUGACAGUUGAGAGCAGGUACACUCUGACCUCAGAGGCUCACAUUCCUUCUAUUUUUCUGCUCUGCCAUACUUUCUAUGAGGCAUUCAUUCUCAAUGUUAUCAUUUUCUAUUUCAAAAGAUAGUUCCUCCUUCUUCCUACCACCCUCCACACACAUAGCCUCUGCACUUCUGGCAUGAAGAAGAGCAAAAUAAAAUGACAAAAUUCUGUGCCAAUAGAUUCUGCACAGUUUUAAAGGUCUUUCCUGGAAUUUGUAAUCAGAAAUUCCUGAUGAAAUCUCAUUGGCCAUCAAUAGAAGAGUUAGGAGAUAUAGUUUUAGUUGGGCUUAUGCCUGUUCUUUACAAAAUAUAGGUUCUCUUGGUAAGAAGAAAAAUGAAAAGAAAAAUAAACAUUGGAUAGUACAAUGAUUAACCUUAUGUGUUGACUUGGUUAGGCUAUGGUGCCCAGUUUUUUGGUCAAACACAGGUGUAGAUGUUGCUGUGAAGGUAUUUUUUUAGAAGUGAUUGACAUUUAAAUCUGUAAAAUUUGACUAAUCUAAAUUACUCUCCAUUACAUGUGUUGACCUCAUCCAAUCAGUUGAAGGUCUUAAGAGAAAUACUGAGUUUCCCUAAAGAUGAAGAAAUUCUGCCCCUGAACUUCCUUGGGACUCAACUUUUCCCUAGGUCUCCAUACUGCUGGUCUGCUCUGCAGAUUUUAGAUAGAACUUAUUGAUUGUCUCUAGGGAACACAGACUAAUACAAAUUUUGGUAUUGAGAUUGGUUUCAGAAAAACUAAAUCUUAAGGAUGAGUUUUCUGAACUGGUUCUGGGGUUUCUAGAAUCAAUUCUCUCACUCAAUUAGAUUUAAAGGCACUAUUUGUAGCAGGAAAAACACUGAUAGCCAUGGUGUGAUGUGUCCAUAGAAAUAUGCAAAAUAUCAUCAUUGGAUAUUCCUGUUUAAAUACUUAUAAGAGGCAAGUUUUUGGGUGACUAUGUAUUUGAUACCUUAGAAGAUUUUUAUCAAACUAACAAGUAAAAUGAAAUUGGCUGGUUGUUCGUAAUUGCGCUGGAAAAAGUGGAUACACAAAAGUAUGAGCUCAAAGGGUUGAAUUUCCAGCUAAAGCACUGCAUAAAUUACCUGAAAGGUUAUAUUGUCUGCCUCAAAAGAAAACCUUAUCUUUUGUAGUCCUAAAGGAGAAAGUGCUGAAAACGAGGCCCAGAUUCUUAUUCUGUUAGUGGCUGAAAUAUAACAGAAAUUUAAUUCCCAACUUCAUAAGGUAUCUACUGGUAAAUUGAGGGCAUUGAUUGGGAAGGAAUAAGAUCCUGAAAAGUGAAAAUGUGGUCAUACUGUAUUAUAAAAUACUGAUGAGGAUGAGGACAUUAAGCUUCUAAAUUCUGCUGGGUCUUCUUUACCAGUAGAGGUAGCUAUUCCCCUCCCCCGCCCCCCAGAGGAGAUUAACACUAAUUUGCCUGAAUAAACUGUAAUGAUCUUCUCUGAGAUAAUUGCCUUAUAAGAUACUGCUGAUUUACCUCCAGACACAGUUCCAGAACCCUGCUUUGCUUCUAGUCUAUAACUAGACUCAAGUUCCAGAAGGCCCUGAAAGGUGAAGUAUUUCUAUGAUCUGAAGGUUUGUGUUCCCCCAAAAUUAAAUAAGUUAAAAUUAAUCACCCAUGUGGUGGUGGUAGAAGGUGGAGCCUUUGGGAGGUGGUUAGGUCAUGAGGUUGGAGGCAUCAUGAAUGAGAUUAGUGCUCUUAUUAAUAGGCUCCAGAUCCGCUUUUCUCCCUCUACCACGUGAGGAUACAUUGAGAAGGUGCUGUUCUAUGAGCCUACAAGUAGGCCCUCACCAGACACUGAAUCUGCUGGUGCCCUUAUCCUGGGCUUUACAGCCUCCAGAACUGUGAGAAAUAAUUUUCAAUUGUUUACAAGGUACCUAAUCUAAACUCUUUUCUUAUGGCAACCAAAAUGGACUAAGGCAGAUAUAAUUGUGAUCAUGAGGAGGUGUGCUGCACUCUAAACAAAAUUAUAUGAUUUAAAAAUUUAUCCAGACAGAAAUAUGGAAAAUAUGUGUGGGAAUGAAUGUUAAGAGUGUGGGAUAUUGGUAGAAAAUACAUAAAGUUGAAACAAGCCAAAUUUAUUGAUUUAAGCCAACUAAACAGAGAUUGUUGAUUUAAUAUUGCAUCUUGGGGGGUUAGAAAAGCCUCUAACAGUUUGUUUAGUUGGUUAGCUGAAACACGAAUAAAAGGUGACCUACACUAAUUAGUUAACAUGCCAGAACUGCCUUCAUGUGCAGUAGAAAAAAGAAUCCAAAGGGUUGGGAAAAUAGGAAUAGAAGUGUGAAUUUAUCAUGCAAGACCUCCUCAUCCACCAUAGGAAGAGUCCAGAGGACAUACUUAUUGCCACAAACAUGAGAAAUAAACUUGUUAGGGGAACUUCAGCCUCACUGAAAACCUCCAUGAUCACUCUUCUUUGCAGCUCAGAAAUUAUAGUGUGAACUGCUGCCAUUAAAUUGGGAAACUAAAAUUCAAUGAAAAUUAUUGGAUCUCACUGUGUCAGAGGCCAAGUGGUGAUACUUAAUCAUUAAAAUAAAGGUAAAUGUGGUUAUUAUAAUGGACACUAGAGUCAAAGCAGUAACUAAAAUAGUCUGAUUCACAGAGCUCUAUGAUAUUGGCUAGUUGAUCACUUUCCUAGAAGUGAAAUAAAUUGGAAGUCUACUAAAUUCGUACUUGAUCUGUAUAAGGACUACAGUCAAGUGAACAAAAGUUUAGCCUGAAUCAUAAGAACAGACAGUCAUGGCCCCUCAAUCAAUUCUCAGACUUGAGUCAGUUUAUAAAGCCCAAAUUCUUCAAGUGAAGGGAGGUGAGAUAACUUUGAGGAAGCACCCAGCUACACUGCCAAUAAUUCUUCCAGCCUUCCCCAACAGGGAUGUAAGCCUUUUAUCAUACAGGGUGACUGUGUAUCAGGAAAGAGAACAAUCAGGAUCUUCAGAAAUUACUGGACACUGGCUCUGAAUUGAUACAAUUUCCAGGAGACACUAAAUGCCAUGGGGAUCCACCAGUCAGAGUAGUUUAUGAAGGUGAUGUUUUGGCUCAUGUCCAUUUCACAGUGGGGUUCAGUGAGUCUCCAAAACUAUCCUGUGGCUAUUUCCCUAGUUCCACAAUGCAUAAGUGACAUAGAUAUAAUCAACAACUGGCAAAAUCCACACGUCUCUUCCUUGACCUAUAAGGUGAUGUCUUUUACGGUGGGAAAGGCCAACUGAAAGCCACUAGAACUUCCUCUUCCUAAGAAGAUAGUAACUCAAAAGCAAAAUCACAGAGAUUAGUGCCACCAUCAGAAACUUGAAAAAUUCAGGAGUGGUGACUCUCACUGUAUCCCCAACCAACUUGCCUAUUAAACAGAAAAUAGAUAGAUCUUGGAGAAUGACAGUGGAUUGUUCUAAGCUUAACAUGGCAGUGACUCCAGUUGCAGCUACUGUACCAGAUAUGGUUUCAUUGCUUGAGAAAAUUAACACAUCCUCUAGUAUCUGAUAUGUAGCUACUGAUUUGACAAAUAUUUUUUUUCUCCAUCUCUGUUAAUAAAAACCACGAGACGCAGUUUGCUUUCAGUUGGCAAGGCCAAUAAUACACCUUUACUGUCCUACCUCAGAGUGUACCCAUUUCCCAGCCUUAGGUUGUUAAUUUAGUUUUCAGAGACCUUGAUUGCUUUUAUCUCCACAAGACAUCAUACUGGUCCGUUACAGUGAUGAUAUUAUACUGAUUAGAACUAGUAAGUCAGAAGUAGUAAGUAUUCUAAACUUAUUGGUAAGACAUUUGCAUGUCAGAGGAUGAAAAAUAAAUCCAACAAAAAUUCAGGGGAAUUCUGCCUCAGUGAAAUUUCAAGGGAUCCAGUAGUAUGAGACACGUAAAGAUAUUCUUUCUAAGAUGAGGAAUAAGUUGUGGCAACAGGCCUCUCCUACAACCAGGAAAGAGGCACAAUGCCUAGUGAGCUUCUUUGGAUUUUGAAGGCAAUGUUUUCCUCACCUGAGUGUGCUUCUCUAGAUGACUUACCAGGUUAUCAGAAAGCUGUCAGUGUUGAGUGCAGCCCAGAACAGAAGUGUCUGUAAGAGGUCAUAGUGCUAUGCCAUCUGCUGUGCCUCUUAGACCAUAUUAUCCAGCAUGUUCUUGGUGCAUAAAGUAUCAGUGGAAGAUAAAAAUUUUGUCUGAAGCAUUUAUCAGGCCCCUGUAAGUGAAUUACAGUGCAAACACUUCAGAUUUGGGAGCAAAAUCCUGCUAUCCUCUGUGGAUAACUACCCUCCUUUUGAGAAACAGUUUUUGGUUUGCUACUGUAAGUACUGUAAGCUACUGUAAGUACUGUAAGUAAUCAGUAGAGACUGAUUACUUAAACAUGGGCCAUCAAGUUACCAUGCAAUUUAUGCUGCCCUCAUGAAAUGGGCCCACCAAGCCAUAAAGUUGAGUGUGCACAGUAGCACUCCAUCAUCAAAUGCAAGAAAUGUAUGAGAUUGGGCUCAAGCAGGUCCCAAAGGCAUAAGCUGCCUAAAGAAAUGGACCGAAUGCUCAUGGUCACCACUCCUGCUACACUGCCCUAUCUUUCCCAGCCUCUACCUAUGGCCUGAAGGGGAGUUCCCUGUGAUCAGUUGACACAGGAAGAGAACACCGGGGCCUGGGUUACAGAUGGUUCUGGAUGAUAUUCAGCACCACCUGAAAGGAGACAGAUGCAGCACUAAAGUCUCUUUCCGAAACACCCAUGAAGGAAGAUAAUAAAAAAAAAUUUCCAGUGAGCAGAAAUUUAAGCAGUGUGCUGGUUAUUCAUUUUGCUGGGAAAGAGAAAUGGCAAGAUAUGUGAUUGUACGUGGAUUCAAUGAUUCAGAUGGAUGGUUAGAAACUUGAAAGUAACGUAAUCAGAAAAUUGAUGACAAGGAGGUCUGGGGAAACGAUAUGUCAAUAUACCUCUCUGAAUAGGAGAAAAACAUAAAAAUAUGUGUGUCCUAUGUGAAUGCUCGCUAAAGUAUGACUUCAGCAAAGGAGAAUUUUAAUAAUCAAGUGCAAUUAAGUAUGGCUUAAGGAUAUGUGUGGGGUUGCCAAGUUGACAAGUGUUAGACUCUGAUGGUUAAUUUUAUGUGUUAACUUAGGCUAUAGUGCCCAGUCGUUUGGUCAAAUGCCAGUCUGGAUGUUGAUCUAAAGGUAUCUUUAAAAUGUGGUUAACAUUUAAAUCAGUAGACUUUGAGUAACCCAGAUAACCAUGCAAAAUAAGUGACUGACUUCAUCUAUCAGUUGGAGACCUUAAGAAUAAAGACCGAAGUCCUUCAAAGAGGAAGAAAUUCUGCCUCUGGACUGCCUUAGGACUCAAGACUGCGGCAUCAACUCUUCCCUGGGUCUCCAUGCCACUGGCCUGCCCUGCAGAUUUUAGACUUGACAGCGAGUCCAAAUCUCAGGGAAAAAGAAACAGUAACUGGCAUAGGGAAACAAUAGGACCACAUAGAACUAAUGCCUAAAUUGCUGUGAUCUGAGGAGUGACCAAAACCCCAACGCUAAGAGGACUUCAAAGAUAACAACUUCAAAGCACCUGAGUUUUCAAACUGGAUAUAAUGUCUGGUGUGAUCUGGCAGAUUUUGAAAGGAUAACAUUCUGCCUGAGUUAUGAUAAGACUUCAUAAAGAUUUAUGUGUUUCUUGAAGUUUAUGAUUUGUAUAUUUCCUUCAUCUUUCAUUUGUUGUUAUAAAUCGCAGCUGUUAUUGUAAGUAUUUUUAAAGGAUUGUGUGUUAUAUAUUUUCCUGCUAGAGACUGUUUGGAUGCCUUCAAUCCAAGAAAUGUGUUCAGAUCUUGAAAAAUUAAUAACAGGAAGAGAUUCUUUUAGAAAAUAGAAAACAUUAAAUUAUAGCAUGUAUUGUUAGUAUCAUCAAGCAUGAGGAAAUUAUAGUUCAAUGUUAAAAAUAGCUAUAAGACUGAAUUUUAUUCUUGGUAUAAUAAGUUUAUCUGACUGAAGUGGACCUGAGAAUUAAAAAGAAAUGAGGAAAUUGAACAAACAUCCAGAAGUAAAUCUCUUAAAAUCAGAGAGGGGAAAAUCCCAAACAAGUGAACAUUGACAAAAAUAAAAUUAAAUAAUAAAAUUGCUAAAUUUAUUUGAGAAUUUGAUAUAACCUAUAUGUCAUGAGUAAUGUCAUCAAAUAUAUCUUUUAGGUUAACCUAAGGCAAAUUACUUAACUAAAUUUCUUUAAAGAUUAAACAUUUUUGGCUCAUGUUAAAAUAUCUACUUCUGAUGAUGUAAAUAAAUGGUUUAAUUUAUUCUUGUUACUUAUAAUGAAAGCCAGUACAUUUUGUUUUUGAAUCAGUAUAAAGCAUUAUGAAGCAAUCUUAAGCAUUUAGCACAAUUGUUAAAUUUCAAAAAGUUGUACUUGGAGUGAGAACAUGAAUGUAGAGAGCUGGAGAAGGAACUACAAUUAUGUCUGCUACUUUUCUGACCUGGAUUAUCUUAUACCCACAGUAUCACUAUGGGGUAAUGGGGAUAAGUAAAGUUGUUAUAAGAUUAUUCCCGUAAAAAAUUAGAAUCUUUGAAAAAAAGACAUUCCAAAAAGGGAAAAUCUUAGGAUUUGUAUGCAAUUGUCCUUUCUUACUUACAAAAAAUAAACUUAAUAUAAAAUUUUCU